rnacentral:rRNA from 1 species
UCGCGAAAACUUCACAAUGGGGGCAACCCCGAUGAGGGAAUUCCUAGUGCUAGCACAUUUGUGUUAGCUUUUCUUUAGCUUAGAAAACUAGAGGAAUAAGGGCUGGGUAAGACGGGUGCCAGCCGCCGCGGUAAUACCUGCAGCCCAAGUGGUGGUCGAUUUUAUUGAGUCUAAAACGUUCGUAGCCGGUUCGGUAAAUCUUUGGGUAAAUCGGGGGGCUUAACCUUCCGACUUCCGAGGAGACUGCCGAACUUGGGACCGGGAGAGGCUAGAGGUACUUCUGGGGUAGGGGUAAAAUCCUGUAAUCCUAGAAGGACCACCGGUGGCGAAGGCGUCUAGCUAGAACGGAUCCGACGGUGAGGGACGAAGCCCUGGGUCGCAAACGGGAUUAGAUACCCCGGUAGUCCAGGGUGUAAACGCUGCAGACUUGGUGUUGGAGGCCCUUUGGGGGCAUUCGGUGCCGGAGAGAAGUUGUUAAGUCUGCUACUUGGGGAGUACGUCCGCAAGGAUGAAACUUAAAGGAAUUGGCGGGGGAGCACCGCAACGGGAGGAGCGUGCGGUUUAAUUGGAUUCAACACCGUAAAACUCACCAGGGAAGACUGUUACAUGAAGGCCGGGCUAAAGACUCUGCCAGAUUUUCA